rnacentral:misc_RNA from 1 species
UGAUAUAGUUAUGUACUGCAGUUUCUAGCUAUGUGAAGUGAUCACAGAGUUGUACUUUCUGGUAAAUGCAAAUGCACUUGAACAUCUACAACCGUAAAUCUUUUCCGGGCAGCCACUAUAUAUAAGACAAGAGAGUACGUAUAAGAUUGACAAAGGAGGAAUUUUCAGAGAGGCAGACGUGUGAGAGUUGCGUGUAAAAGUGCAAACUUCAGG